AACAGGGCCUAGGGUUUUGGGGGUUUUCUGUGGUUGAAUCGUAAAAAUUUGGGGGGUUUUCUUUUGUCUUGGAGAAAAAUUGGGGUUUUACAUGUAUGGCUUCGACGACUAUAGAUGGUGAAGGAGGUCGCAAUGUUGAUAAUAACGGUGAUGGAGCUGCUGCUGGUGUCUCUGCUGUUCGAGAGAAACCGAGCGCUACCACAGUUUCCACUACGAGCACUACCAACGCCACCACGACCACUGUCGCUGCUACUGCAAAGUUUUUUUCUAUUUUAAUGUGUUUGAGUUGUUUUAGUGUUUGGUUUUGGAAAUGUUUAGAGAUAUGGAUUUUAGUGCAUAUUGUUGUAUAGUUCUGUAUAUACCUGAGAUGCUUAUAAAUUAGAGUAGAAAACGUUUUCCAUUUCGUAAACGUGUUUGAAAAUUAGCGUUUCAGCCACUAAACUUCAUUUUAAACAUAGGAAACCUUAAAGUAACACUGUUUCGCUGUGUCCGGGUCUCGUUUUCCUGUAUCCGUGUCCAUGCUAAAUAGCUUAUGAUCUAUACUAUUUUUCAUGUUGGCAGGAAUGUGAUGCUAGUUUAUAGUUUGCUCUUGAAGUGUGAAUAGGAGUGGAUCAGGAUUGUGACCAAGAAAUAUGAGUACCAUAGUUUUUGACUAGCCAGCGCUCAUGAAUGAUAUUAGUCGAAUUUGGUCGACUCUAAAUGUAGUAGGGAAAAGACUUCAUGGCCAAUGCGGUUCAUGAAUUCUCUGACUCAAUCUUAGCCUAAAUUUCCAUGAACGUGCGACUGUUGGUGUUGCUACUAUUGAUAGAUGUUGGAUAUAUUUUAGAUUUUGCAUAACUAUGUUUUAUCUUGGGUAUCGGUAAUUGGAUGCUUGAAUCAGUUUAUAAUAAGUUCUUUUUUUUGAAUUAUAAUUUUCGUCAUUAAAUUAUUUUGGUCUGAGAAGCAAGUAAACUACGAUUUGUAAUUGAACCGUUAAAAUUGACUUUUAUCUUGGGCUCCAAUUUAUGACUAACGUCUUUCUUUUCACUAAACAUUACGUCCGGUACUUUGAUGCACAGAUAUUUCUGAGCUGAAUCUGCCUAAAUCAUGCGCCAUAACGUCCCCUAGUAGCAAGUGUUGGUUCAAAUUGAGCACAAUGUAUGGGAGAAUACAUUUAUGAGGCCCAGAAUGUGAACCAUAUAACCGUGGGCCGGACACCACAUUGAAUCCAAAACCCUAAGGUAAUGGGUUAAGUAGUCCAUCCCACUUAUAUAUUCCACAUUCUACUCAUAUUUUUCCAAUGUGGGAAUUUCAUCACACUUAAUAUUCCACAUCAAGGACAAGUUGAUGAAUUUUGAGGUUUCAAUCCGACCAGAUGAAGGAUAUUAUCUAGGCGGCAUAUUUUUGUUCUCAUUCCAAGUCUCUCCAGUCUAUCCACAUGAAGUACCAAAAGUUAAGUGCAAGACCAAGGUUUAUCAUCCAAACAUCGACUUGGAAGGAAAUGUCUGCCUCAACAUCUUGCGUGAAGACUGGAAACUUGUCCUCAAUAUAAACACUAUUAUUUACGGAUUGUACCAUCUUUUCACGAUACUUCUUUCAAUUUUUUUCGUUACUCUGUAUAUAGGAACCUAAUUGUGAGGAUCCUCUUAAUAAAGAAUCUGCUGACAUGUUGAGAGACAACCCAAAGAUGUUCGAAUCUAUCGUGAGAAGAGCGAUGGCCUGGAGGAUACGUGGGAAAAAACUUUUCUCCACGGUGUCUGUAGCUUUUAUUGUGGGUGGCACAAAGUGUCUAUUUGCUUACUUUAUCGAAUGGUCAAAAGCCUGUGGUUGUAAAAUCUAUCCGCAAUUUACAUUCUAUCAUCCUUUCUCAGUUUUCUGAGUGAAGCUGGUGGCUUUAGUUCCUUGAAGUGCAACUGAAACACAACAAAAUUUGUAUGUUACUGUAACUUCUGUCAUGGGAUUGAUUGUAUGUUGACUUGUAUUAAAUUAAUGUGUAUCAAGCAUAGGGUAAA